rnacentral:rRNA from 1 species
GAUGAACGCUAGCUACAGGCUUAACACAUGCAAGUCGCAGGACUGGCGCCCGGGUGAGUAACGCGUAUCCAACCUUCCCAUGACCACGGGCUAACCCGUUGAAAGACGGACUAAUACCGUAUUGUGAUGGCUGGGGAUGCGUCUGAUUAGGUUGUUGGAGGGGUAACGGCCCACCAAGGCGACGAUCAGUAGGGGUGCUGAGAGGGAGGUCCCCGAGAGGGGAACUGAGACACGGUCCAAACGCCUACGGGAGGAAGGAGGGAGGAAGAUUGGUGAAUGGGCGAGAGCCGGAACCAGCCAAGUAGCGUGCAGGAGGACGGCCUAUGGGUUGUAAACUGAUUUUAGGCGGGGAUAGGUACCGCAUGAAUAAGGACCGGCUAAUUCCGUGCCAGCAGCCGCGGUAAUAC